rnacentral:SRP_RNA from 1 species
GGGCGGUCAAGGAGGGGUGCACGGCUCAGGCCCGAAAGGGAGCAGGCAAAAGCCCCCGCGCGACGCAGUGGCCGGAUAGCGCCCGCGAGUGCUCACGUCGUCACGGCCUCUCCGAUACCUUCGGACCUCCAAUCGU